CCCGCACCUCCCCGUUUUCCAUCCCUAGAACUUUUGUCUCUCACAGUAGAAGAGUUUGAUGAACUAGUUCAUUUCAGUAAUAGGGCUAAUGCCAUUGGAACUUCUCCUAACACAAUGAACCAUUCAAAGUCAUGUAUUCAAAGCAUAUUCACUUCUUAUCGCACUGUCUUUUUGACAAUUCUGGAAAUCCACACAAUCUUUUGUUGGUUCUUCUCUUCUCCCGUUGGCAAUAUUACUUUUCGGUAGAACGAAUUGCUAAGGCCAAUUCUCCACGGGACAAGCCAGUUAAUCCUGUGUUCGAAAUAAAAAGGGAAAAAGUUCAAAUUUAUCCCUCCACCGUGAGAAAAGGAUCAAAUUUACCUUAAGAAUAUUCAUGUGAUGGCAAAUGAUCAGGUAGGGUUGGAUUUGGAUAGGUUAAAAAUGGGUUGGGUUUCAACUCGCCCAUAUUUUAUGCGGGUAAAAAAUGGAUUGGGUGUCAAAUCGGUGGGUUGAAUAUGGGUUAACCCAUAUUAUAUAAGUGUAAUAUUUUUUCAAGUGCAAUUUAUGAUUUUUCUUUUUUGGUAACAACUGUGAAUAUUACCAUUGAUAAUAAAAUUAAUCAAUACACCUAAUGAGCUCCUAACUUCACAAAGAAACUGAGACUCCAAAUCUCUAAUUACACAAUAGUCUCUAUAUGAAUCCUUUAUUUCUACUUCCUAUAUUUGACAGCUUAAUCAUCCCUAUUCUCUCUUUUAUCUCUUUCUUGAGUUGUGUAACUAUAAUAUCCACAUGUACAGUUCCAUUUUGAAACAAUUUUCUAUUCCUGGCAGUCCAUACAUGAUAGAUUGUUGCACCCCAUAUGGCAGCCAUCCCUUCCUUCUUGAGUUUCUUCCAGUGCUUCCUUCUAAUUCGAUCAAAUACCAGUUUAGGAUACCCCGCAUACAAUUGUGCUCAUGUCCAUUGCAGCAGUGAUCUUCUUAUAGCCUGUAUCCAUUGACAAUUACCAAAUAAAUGUUGACUGGUCUCAACUUCUUGAUCAUCACAUAAGCAGCAGUUCAUAUCUGGUGCUAGGGCAUCCGAGUGAGAGCUGUUCCUUUCCUUCAGAGCAUUUCCAGAGUUAACAAGGUAGUUGCACGGCAUCCGCAGCCUUGCCUUUUUCCUUCCUAUCUAUUUAGCAUUUGUUUAUUUUAUUAGACUCAUCUUGUAUUGAGAAAACAUUAUCAGAUUGUAUUUUAGUGGCUCAUGACUAGUGACUCCAGGAUCGGGCAGUGUCUGAUGUUUUGCAUAUUUAUCCGCUUGUCUUGAAAUGUUUAAACGAAAGAUUUGUAAUAAUAUCUAAUUAGUAAAUGAAUUAAGAAAAAGACAUGUUUAUGUUAUAAAUGUCGAAUCGGCUAGCCUAGUACUGCGAUAGGCGCCUUCACGGUCGGGGUGGUUUGGGGUCGUGAUAUUUUUUCAAUACCAACUACAAUCUUGGGGCACAAUGUGAGAACAUACAUUAGGAUCAUUCUUGAUGUAGAUGCGAUGCACCCAUUUGACCCAUAAUGAAUUCUUACUCUGAGUUAGUUGCCAAAACAGUUUUCCCACUGAAGCUUUAUUCCAAUUACUGCAUCCUUGGAUAUUUAGGCCUCCAUUUUCUUAGGACAACAUAUAUUCUCCCAUGAAACUAGUGGAACUCCUCUCUUGUCUUUUGAACUACCCAUAAGUAAUUUCUAUAUAUUUUGUCUACUUCCCUUAAUACACUUUGAGGUAAAAUAAACACUGUACCCCAAAAUCUGUAUAUUGAAAAUAGAAGUGCAGUUAUCACUUGAAGCUUUCCUGCAUAUGACAGCCUCUUUACAUAGGUAACACUGAUUCUAUGAGUGAUCUUCUCUACCAGCUAUUGACACUCCAAUAGACUCCACUUCUUAGGUGACAAAGGUAGUCCAAGAUAUCUGAUAGGAAAAGAUCCCUCUGAGAACCCAGUGACAUUCAACAGUCUCUUCUUAGUUUAAUCAGUCACUCCUGCCAUGAAUAUGUUAGAUUUGUCCAAGUUUGCAUUCAGACCUAACACCUCACUAAAAUGUUUUAGUGCUUCCUUUACUCUAUUCACUGAUGCCCUUCACCUUUGCAAAAGACCAUUAAAUCAUCAGCAAAAAUGAGAUGGUUCAGCUUCAAAUGUUUACACAUUGGAUGGUAUUUGAAAUCUAGCAAUUCAACCAUCCUUCCUAAAGUCCUGGAGAGGUACUCCAUAAACAACACAAAGAGUUUUGGUGACAUAGGAUCACCUUAUUGAAGUCCCCUUUGCCCCUCAAAAUACCCAUGUUGUUCUCCAUUUACAGUGACUGAAAACUUUGGUGAAGUCACAAAAGUCAUAAUCAAUUGGCCAAAUCUUUCUAGGAAUCUAUAGCCAAGCAGAAUCUCUUCUAAGAACUCCCAACUGACCAUAUCAUAGGCUUUUCUGAGAUCAAUUUUCAUUAGACAUCUAGGUGUUGUCUUCCUAUUAUAAUGCCUGAGUAAAUCAUGGCAAAUAAGCACAUUAUGCAUCGUAGAUCUACCCUGCACAAAUGCUGACUGAUUGUCUGCUACUAUGUAAUUUACUGCAUUUUUCAACUUGCUGCAAAUCACCUUUAAGAUAUAUUUGUACAAGACAUUACAACAUGCAAUUGGUCUGAACUGGCUUGCAAACUCAGGAUCAGUUAUCUUAGAAAUUAGAGCAAUGUUGGUGCAAUUGAUCUGCUUUAACAAUCUUCCAUUCCUGAAGAAAUCCAGUAUAACAUCAGUAAUAUCCCUGCCUAGAAUGUGCCAAGAAUCUUUAAAGAACCCACUGCUAUACCCAUCAGGCCCUGAACUUUUAUUACUAUCAAUCUAGAAUAAUUCCUUCUUAACUUCCUUUUCCUCAAUAGGCUGCAGUAAUCUCAGCUGCAACUCUGUUGUCAGUAAAGAACCAUUUUGUAUGAAGCCUUUGUAUGCUCUCCUUCUUGAACUAGCCUUUUGCCCAAGCAGUUCUUGAUAGUAGCUUAGGAACAAGUCUACAAUUGCUUCUGGUUCUGUCUGCCAUACCCCUUGGUCAUCUUUCAAUUGGAUAGUAGCUAACUUCAAUCUUUUGUGUCUUAUUACUGAGUAGAAGUACCCAGUGUUGUCAUCUCCCAGCCUUAACCAUGUAGCUUUACUUUUCUGUUGUAGAAACAUUUCAGCAAGGUUGGAUGAUUCUUUAAACUUCUGAUAUUUCUCAUGUUCUUCCUGUUGAAUACCAAGAUUACUAGGAUCAGUUUGCAACCUUUCCUACACCUGCUUCAAUGCUUGUCUGUCUACUUUAGUUGUUUGCUCAAUAUUGCUGAAGUAUUGACUGUUAAGUUCCCUAAGCUUCCUUUUCAGUAACUUCAUCUUUUUAACAAUCUGAAACAUUUUGCAUCCUUCUACAAAUGUUGUCCAUACAUAUGAAACAAUCUGAUUAAACUGAGGGUGUUGUGCCCAAGCAUUGCAGUACUUAAAGUAUCUUUUAAUCCUAUGAUUAUCAUAUGAAAGAGUUAUAUAUACAGGACAAUGGUCAUUUAUACCCUCAGGUAGAAUUUUAGAUUUACAUGAUGGUAUAAGGUCUAACCACUCCCCAUUAAUGAAAGUCCAAUCUAUUUUUGAAUCUAUUUUUUGACAGUGCCUAUUAUUCCAUGUAUAUCUACUGCCCUGGUAUGGUAGUUCUAUGAAACCACAUUCUCCCAUGCAGUUAUUAAAAUCUACUACUUCUGCCCAUGUAAUUGGAUUACCCCUAUCUUGUCCUCCAUAUUUAAAAUUGAGUUGAAGUCCCCCUGUGAUUAACCAUGUCAACUUACAAUAUGAGUUUUGCUCAAUUAACCAACUCCAUAAGCUCUUUCUCUAUUUCUUAGUGUUAAAUGCAUACACAAAGGUGAUAGCAAAUUGCAUCUGGAGAGGAAUAUAAUAGACUUCACAUGUUAUUCCCUGUGUAGUGCUGCUCUUUAGAAUAACUCUGUAAUAGUCUGGCCUCCAUGUAACUCAUAUUCUCCCAUUAUAAUGAGCCUCCAAGUUGUGAUAUACUGCCAUCCACUAAAUAGUUUCCCUGCUAUUUGUUCAAUUCUAUCCUUCUUUAUUUUUGUUUCUAAUAAUCCUAUCAUUCCAACCUUUUCAUCAUUGCAAAGGAGUUUAGUCUCCUUUUGCUUAUUGGGAGUAUUAAGCCCCCUUACAUUCCAGGAGAGAAUAUUAACCAUUCCCUGACACAGGAAUGGAUUGGCCUUCCACUUUUCCCACUGAAACCAGCUCUUGUGCCUUACUAGUUUCUUGUUUAUCAAGUGCCUGAAAAGAGUUUGCCCUUGCAACUUGUUAAGAGCCUAUUAUCUGAGCUUUCGCUGUCCUCAAAGGUGUGAUCCAUCCUAUAUUCUUUCCACUGGCUUUGUUUGCAGUUUGUAUUGCCUCUGUGUCUUUGCUUCUAUCCUGCUUUUCCUCCUCUCCCUUCUUCUGUUUGUCAUCCUGAACCCUUGCCUCCUGCUUUUCAACAGAUUUGGGGGGGGGGGGGGGUUCUUUUUCCUACAAACAUUCUCAAAGUACCCAUACUUUUUACAAUAGGUAUAGAGUGUUGGUUUCCAAUCAUACAAGACUUUCUGUUCAAUCACAUCCCCUUUUUCAUUCCUGAACUUCACAACAUCUGGAAGGUCUGCCUUCACAUCCACCUCCACUAAAAGUCUUGCAAAACUGAGUCCCAACUUUUUCUCAGUGUUUUGAUCCACCAUCAUUGGUUUUUCUACUAGACUUCCGAUCUUACUCAGACCUUUUUUUCUCCAAUACUUAAAUUCUAAACCUGGAAGUUUGAUCCAUAUUGGAACUGUGUAUAAUUUCUCUUGUGAACUCCAUGUCUGGGUUCCAUUGCUUCACAACUUAUUGUCAAAGUGAUAUAUUCCCCCCUGUAAAGCUUCAUUCAUACCCAUAACACUAUCAAAUUUAACAAGUACAAUUAUAUUUUUCAGCAUCACUAUUUUGUUCAAACUAUGCUUUGCCCAUAAACUCUGUACAUAUCCCUUUAUAACCGAAAAAGGGGGAAACGCUCCUAAAACAUAGAAAACAACAUGAUUCUUCCAAAAUACCACUUCAAAAA